GAGAUGAAUAAGAGGAUGAAAAUGGAUGAGAGGUUUCUACGAAAAAUAAAGAAUAAUUCUUUCUAAUGCCCUUUUCAUGAUGCCCCUUUUCAACUCUAUCCUUUUGUUUUAUCCAUUUUUAUUUGUACCUUCUUUAAUUUUUUAAUGACCAUUUUACUCUUAUUUGGAAAUUAUUUUAGGUUAACAAAAUAAAAUAUUAAUAUUUUUCGCAUAAAAUAUUCCAAAAUAAUUUUCCCGCCGAUAUUUUCCAGCCAAAAAUUUUCGAAACAAAUUUCCCUCCAAU
rnacentral:sRNA from 1 species